UACGUAGGGGGCAAGCGUUGUCCGGAUUUAUUGGGCGUAAAGAGCGUGUAGGCGGCUAGGUAGGUCCGUUGUGAAAACUCGAGGCUCAACCUCGAGACGCCGGUGGAAACCAUCUAGCUAGAGUCCGGAAGAGGCGAGUGGAAUUCCCGGUGUAGCGGUGAAAUGCGCAGAUAUCGGGAGGAACACCAAUGGCGAAGGCAGCUCGCUGGGACGGUACUGACGCUGAGGCGCGAAAGCGUGGGGAGCAAACAGG
rnacentral:rRNA from 1 species